GAAAUAUGGUACUCAAAAUUAAGCUUCUAACUUAAAUUUUAAGCGAUGAAAUUUCGUUUAUAUUUCU
rnacentral:tRNA from 1 species